UACGGGAGGCAGCAGUGGGGAAUAUUGCACAAUGGGCGAAAGCCUGAUGCAGCAACGCCGCGUGAGUGAUGACGGUCUUCGGAUUGUAAAGCUCUGUCUUUUGGGACGAUAAUGACGGUACCAAAGGAGGAAGCCACGGCUAACUACGUGCCAGCAGCCGCGGUAAUACGUAGGUGGCAAGCGUUGUCCGGAUUUACUGGGCGUAAAGGAUGUGUAGGCGGAUACUUAAGUGAGAUGUGAAAGCCCCGGGCUUAACCUGGGGACUGCAUUUCAAACUGGGUAUCUAGAGUGCAGGAGAGGAAAGCGGAAUUCCUAGUGUAGCGGUGAAAUGCGUAGAGAUUAGGAAGAACAUCAGUGGCGAAGGCGGCUUUCUGGACUGUAACUGACGCUGAGGCAUGAAAGCGUGGGGAGCAAACAGGAUUAGAUACCCUGGUAGUCCACGCCGUAAACGAUGAGUACUAGGUGUAGGA
rnacentral:rRNA from 1 species